GAUGAACGCNGGCGGCGUGCCUAACACAUGCAAGUCGAACGGGAUGCGUAUCGGAAAGCUUCGGCCGGAAGAUGCGUUAUCUAGUGGCGGACGGGUGAGUAACACGUGGGUAACCUGCCUUAUGGAGGGGGAUAACAGAGAGAAAUCACUGCUAAUACCGCAUAAGCACACAGUACCGCAUGGUACAGGGUGAAAAGAUUUAUCACCAUAAGAUGGACCCGCGUCUGAUUAGCCAGUUGGCAGGGUAAAAGCCUACCAAAGCAACGAUCAGUAGCCGAUCUGAGAGGAUGACCGGCCACAUUGGGACUGAGACACGGCCCAAACUCCUACGGGAGGCAGCAGUGGGGAAUAUUGCACAAUGGGGGAAACCCUGAUGCAGCGACGCCGCGUGAGUGAAGAAGUAUUUCGGUAUGUAAAGCUCUAUCAGCAGGGAAGAUAANGACAGNAC
rnacentral:rRNA from 1 species